GACGAACGCUGGCGGCGUGCUUAACACAUGCAAGUCGAGCGGUAAGGCCUUUUCGGGGGUACACGAGCGGCGAACGGGUGAGUAACACGUGGGUGACCUGCCCUCAGCUCUGGGAUAAGCCUGGGAAACUGGGUCUAAUACCGGAUAUGACUCCAUGACGCAUGUUGUGGGGUGGAAAGCCUUGUGCGGCUGAGGAUGGGCCCGCGGCCUAUCAGCUUGUUGGUGGGGUGANGGGCCUACCAAGGCGACGACGGGUAGCCGGCCUGAGAGGGCGACCGGCCACACUGGGACUGAGACACGGCCCAGACUCCUACGGGAGGCAGCAGUGGGGAAUCUUGCGCAAUGGGCGAAAGCCUGACGCAGCGACGCCGCGUGAGGGAUGACGGCCU
rnacentral:rRNA from 1 species